GACGAACGCUGGCGGCGUGCUUAACACAUGCAAGUCGAACGAUGAAGCCUAGCUUGCUAGGUGGAUUAGUGGCGAACGGGUGAGUAAUACGUGAGUAACCUACCUUUAACUCUGGGAUAAGCCCGGGAAACUGGGUCUAAUACCGGAUACGACCAAUCUCCGCAUGGGGUGUUGGUGGAAAGCGUUAUGUAGUGGUUAUAGAUGGGCUCACGGCCUAUCAGCUUGUUGGUGAGGUAACGGCUCACCAAGGCGACGACGGGUAGCCGGCCUGAGAGGGUGACGGCCCCCCCGGGGACGGGGACACGGCCCAGCCCCCCCGGGGGGGGGGCGGGGGGGAAUUUGCCACAGGGGGGGAAACCCUGUUGCGGCGACCCCGGGGGGGGGUGGAGGCCCUUCGGGUGGUAAACCUCUGUUAGCGGGGAAGAAGGGAGAUUGGCGGUACCUGCAGAAAAAGCCCCGGCUAACUACGG
rnacentral:rRNA from 1 species